rnacentral:rRNA from 1 species
GGUUAAGUCCCGCAACGAGCGCAACCCUUAUCCUUUGUUGCCAGCGGUUAGGCCGGGAACUCAAAGGAGACUGCCAGUGAUAAACUGGAGGAAGGUGGGGAUGACGUCAAGUCAUCAUGGCCCUUACGACCAGGGCUACACACGUGCUACAAUGGCGCAUACAAAGAGAAGCGACCUCGCGAGAGCAAGCGGACCUCAUAAAGUGCGUCGUAGUCCGGAUUGGAGUCUGCAACUCGACUCCAUGAAGUCGGAAUCGCUAGUAAUCGUGGAUCAGAAUGCCACGGUGAAUACGUUCCCGGGCCUUGUACACACCGCCCGUCACACCAUGGGAGUGGGUUGCAAAAGAAGUAGGUAGCUUAACCUUCGGGAGGGCGCUUACCACUUUGUGAUUCAUGACUGGGGUGAAGUCGUAACAAGGUAACCGUAGGGGAACCUGCGGUUGGAUCACCUCCUUA